CCUACGGGAGGCAGCAGUGGGGGAUAUUGCACAAUGGGGGAAACCCUGAUGCAGCGACGCCGCGUGAGUGAAGAAGUAUUUCGGUAUGUAAAGCUCUAUCAGCAGGGAAGAAAAUGACAGUACCUGACUAAGAAGCCCCGGCUAACUACGUGCCAGCAGCCGCGGUAAUACGUAGGGGGCAAGCGUUAUCCGGAUUUACUGGGUGUAAAGGGAGCGUAGACGGUUAUGUAAGUCUGGGGUGAAAGCCCGGGGCCCAACCCCGGGACUGCUUUGGAAACUGGGUAACUGGAGUACUGGAGGGGCAGGCGGAAUUCCUGGUGAAGCGGUGAAAUGCGUAGAUAUCAGGAGGAACACCGGCGGCGAAGGCGGUCUGCUGGACUGAAACUGACGUUGAGGCACGAAAGCGUGGGGAGCAAACAGGAUUAGAUACCCCUGUAGUC
rnacentral:rRNA from 1 species